CAGACCGCCAGCUAAGGUCCCAAAGUCAUGGUUAAGUGGGAAACGAUGUGGGAAGGCCCAGACAGCCAGGAUGUUGGCUUAGAAGCAGCCAUCAUUUAAAGAAAGCGUAAUAGCUCACUGGUCGAGUCGGCCUGCGCGGAAGAUGUAACGGGGCUAAACCAUGCACCGAAGCUGCGGCAGCGACGCUUAUGCGUUGUUGGGUAGGGGAGCGUUCUGUAAGCCUGUGAAGGUGUGCUGUGAGGCAUGCUGGAGGUAUCAGAAGUGCGAAUGCUGACAUAAGUAACGAUAAAGCGGGUGAAAAGCCCGCUCGCCGGAAGACCAAGGGUUCCUGUCCAACGUUAAUCGGGGCAGGGUGAGUCGACCCCUAAGGCGAGGCCGAAAGGCGUAGUCGAUGGGAAACAGGUUAAUAUUCCUGUACUUGGUGUUACUGCGAAGGGGGGACGGAGAAGGCUAUGUUGGCCGGGCGACGGUUGUCCCGGUUUAAGCGUGUAGGCUGGUUUUCCAGGCAAAUCCGGAAAAUCAAGGCUGAGGCGUGAUGACGAGGCACUACGGUGCUGAAGCAACAAAUGCCCUGCUUCCAGGAAAAGCCUCUAAGCAUCAGGUAACAUCAAAUCGUACCCCAAACCGACACAGGUGGUCAGGUAGAGAAUACCAAGGCGCUUGAGAGAACUCGGGUGAAGGAACUAGGCAAAAUGGUGCCGUAACUUCGGGAGAAGGCACGCUGAUAUGUAGGUGAAGUCCCUCGCGGAUGGAGCUGAAAUCAGUCGAAGAUACCAGCUGGCUGCAACUGUUUAUUAAAAACACAGCACUGUGCAAACACGAAAGUGGACGUAUACGGUGUGACGCCUGCCCGGUGCCGGAAGGUUAAUUGAUGGGGUCAGCGCAAGCGAAGCUCUUGAUCGAAGCCCCGGUAAACGGCGGCCGUAACUAUAACGGUCCUAAGGUAGCGAAAUUCCUUGUCGGGUAAGUUCCGACCUGCACGAAUGGCGUAAUGAUGGCCAGGCUGUCUCCACCCGAGACUCAGUGAAAUUGAACUCGCUGUGAAGAUGCAGUGUACCCGCGGCAAGACGGAAAGACCCCGUGAACCUUUACUAUAGCUUGACACUGAACAUUGAGCCUUGAUGUGUAGGAUAGGUGGGAGGCUUAGAAGUGUGGACGCCAGUCUGCAUGGAGCCGACCUUGAAAUACCACCCUUUAAUGUUUGAUGUUCUAACGUUGACCCGUAAUCCGGGUUGCGGACAGUGUCUGGUGGGUAGUUUGACUGGGGCGGUCUCCUCCUAAAGAGUAACGGAGGAGCACGAAGGUUGGCUAAUCCUGGUCGGACAUCAGGAGGUUAGUGCAAUGGCAUAAGCCAGCUUGACUGCGAGCGUGACGGCGCGAGCAGGUGCGAAAGCAGGUCAUAGUGAUCCGGUGGUUCUGAAUGGAAGGGCCAUCGCUCAACGGAUAAAAGGUACUCCGGGGAUAACAGGCUGAUACCGCCCAAGAGUUCAUAUCGACGGCGGUGUUUGGCACCUCGAUGUCGGCUCAUCACAUCCUGGGGCUGAAGUAGGUCCCAAGGGUAUGGCUGUUCGCCAUUUAAAGUGGUACGCGAGCUGGGUUUAGAACGUCGUGAGACAGUUCGGUCCCUAUCUGCCGUGGGCGCUGGAGAACUGAGGGGGGCUGCUCCUAGUACGAGAGGACCGGAGUGGACGCAUCACUGGUGUUCGGGUUGUCAUGCCAAUGGCACUGCCCGGUAGCUAAAUGCGGAAGAGAUAAGUGCUGAAAGCAUCUAAGCACGAAACUUGCC
rnacentral:rRNA from 1 species